rnacentral:lncRNA from 1 species
AACUGAAACCCGCGUGAACAGGCUCAGAAAUGGUGAUUGUAGUAUUUAAAAUGUUGUUUUGAAAUGUAAUUUAACUGCAGACCGGUCAGAUCCGCAGGCUGAUACCCUAAUCCCAAGUGAAGAUUCCCGUUGGUUUAAGGAGCUUCUGUUGGACUGUUCUCUGGACACAGAAGAAACAGCAGAAAGUGGGUAGCUUUUUCUUUCAAGAGUUGAAAGCAGCACUCGUUUGAGGUUUUAAGAAGAUUUGGAGAACGGGGAUUGAUCUACUAACAUCAGAGAAGAAAUCUGGUGGCAAAUAUCAAAACCUCAUAGAAUAUUUUACCACUCAAAGAUAUUAAAUUCAGCUGCUGAAUGGAUGGACUUCUACGGGUCAGAACUGAAGCUUGGGAUAGAGGCAACCCCCUCGCUGCCCCCCG